rnacentral:rRNA from 1 species
UACGGAGGUUGCAAGCGUUGUUCGGAAUAACUGGGCGUAAAGGGAGCGCAGGCGGUUUGGUAAGUCUAAAGUGAAAGCCCGGGGCUUAACCCCGGAAGUGCUUUGGAUACUGCCUUACUCGAGUUCGUAAGAGGAAAGCGGAAUUCCAGGUGUAGCGGUGAAAUGCGUAGAUAUCUGGAGGAACACCGGUGGCGAAAGCGGCUUUCUGGUACGAUACUGACGCUGAGGCUCGAAAGCAUGGGGAGCGAACAGGAUCAGAUACCCUGGUAGUCCAUGCCGUAAACGUUGUGCACUAGGUGUAGGAGGUAUCGACCCCUUCUGUGCCGCAGCUAACGCAUUAAGUGCACCGCCUGGGGAGUACGGUCGCAAGACUGAA